rnacentral:rRNA from 1 species
CCUACGGGUGGCAGCAGUCGAGAAUCAUUCACAAUGGGGGAAACCCUGACCGAGCAACGCCGCGUGAAGGAAGGAGGAAUUCGUUCUGUAAACUUCUGUUAUAAAGGGAGAAAGACGGAUGGAGGAAAUGACAUCCGAGUGACGGUACUUUAUGAGAAAGCCACGGCUAACUACGUGCCAGCAGCCGCGGUAAUACGUAGGUGGCAAGCGUUAUCCGGAAUUAUUGGUCGUAAGGAGGGAGCAGGCGGCAGCAAAGGUCUGUGGUGAAAGACUGAAGCUUAACUUCAGUAAGCCAUAGAAACCGGGCAGCUAGAGUGCAGGAGAGGAUCGUGGAAUUCCAUGUGUAGCAGUGAAAUGCGUAGAUAUAUGGAGGAACACCAGUGGCGAAGGCGACGAUCUGGCCUGCAACUGACGCUCAGUCCCGAAAGCGUGGGGAGCAAAUAGGAUUAGAUACCCCUGUAGUC